rnacentral:rRNA from 1 species
UACAGAGGUCUCAAGCGUUGUUCGGAUUCAUUGGGCGUAAAGGGUGCGUAGGUGGCGGGGCAAGUUGGAUGUGAAAUCCCGGAGCUUAACUCCGGAACUGCAUUCAAUACUGCCUUGCUAGAGUACUGGAGAGGAGAUUGGAAUUUACGGUGUAGCAGUGAAAUGCGUAGAUAUCGUAAGGAAGACCAGUGGCGAAGGCGGAUCUCUGGACAGUUACUGACGCUGAGGCACGAAGGCCAGGGGGAGCAAACGGGG